AAAUGAAUUAAGAGGCAACUCUUAACUGACCGGCUAGGGAAAGAUCGAGAGAUUCAAGCCUAGAGGGCAGAAAACUCUGCGGAGUAGCGCUAAAAUCGUAGAGUGAAAGGCAUGGCGGUAGCGCAUAAAACGACGUGCCAA
rnacentral:ncRNA from 1 species